CUUUGACAGGGUCUUACUCUGGUGCCCAGAGAGGGGAGUACAGUGGUGUCAUCAUAGCUCAGGACAGCCUCAAACGUGGGGACUCACACAAUCCUCCUGCCCUAGCCUCACUAGUAUCUGGGACUACAGGUGUGCACCAGUGGACUCUUUUAAUUUUUUACCUUUUUAGUAGAGAUGGGGUUUCACCACAUUGCCCAGGCUGAUCUUGAACUCCUGAGCUCAAGCUGUCUGCCUGCCUCGGUAUCCCAAACU
rnacentral:lncRNA from 10 species